rnacentral:rRNA from 1 species
AUUGAACGCUGGCGGCAUGCCUUACACAUGCAAGUCGAACGGCAGCGGACCUUCGGGUGCCGGCGAGUGGCGAACGGGUGAGUAAUAUAUCGGAACGUACCUUUCAGUGGGGGAGUAACGUAGCGAAAGUUACGCUAAUACCGCAUAUUCUGUGAGCAGGAAAGCAGGGGAUCGCAAGACCUUGCGCUGAUUGAGCGGCCGAUAUCAGAUUAGCUAGUUGGUGAGGUAAAGGCUCACCAAGGCGACGAUCUGUAGCGGGUCUGAGAGGAUGAUCCGCCACACUGGAACUGAGACACGGUCCAGACUCCUACGGGAGGCAGCAGUGGGGGAAUUUUGGUACAAUGGGCGGCAAGCCUGAUCCAGCCACUGCCGCCGUGAGUGAAG